GAAGGAUCAGGUGGCAGCAGUCUGUCAUUUAGACCUUAGGACUUAGCCUGGAGAGCUGAGCUGACACAGGGAGCCCCCCAGGCUGACUGCCAUGCCUGUGGGUGGGCCUCUGAGGCUCUCACUGGCUCUAGGCCUUUAGAGAGAGCAGCCAGGGCAGAUGAUUUCAUGGGCAAUGUCUCUGACUGUCUUGGGCAGAUUUGGAAAGUCAGGAGUAACUCACAGUGAUGGCACACCCUGUCACAGCUGGGCUGCGGACCAAUGUACACCCAGACCAAUUCACACUGCACACUUCCAGAUGAAACAAGAGACCAGAGAACUGAGGUAAUUUGCCC
rnacentral:lncRNA from 10 species